rnacentral:rRNA from 1 species
AUACGUAGGUGACAAGCGUUAUCCGGAUUUACUGGGUGUAAAGGGCGUGUAGGCGGUUUAGCAAGUCAGAAGUGAAAUUCCCGGGCUUAACUUGGGCGCUGCUUCUGAAACUGCUUUACUUGAGUGCUGGAGAGGAUAGUGGAAUUCCUAGUGUAGCGGUAAAAUGCGCAGAUAUUAGGAGGAACACCGGUGGCGAAGGCGGCUAUCUGGACAGUAACUGACGCUGAGGCGCGAAAGCACGGGGAGCAAACAGGAUUGGAUACCCUGGUAGUCCGUGCCGUAAACGAUGAAUACUAGGUGUAGGGGGUAUCGACUCCCUCUGUGCCGCAGUUAACACAUUAAGUAUUCCACCUGGGGAGUACGGCCGCAAGGUUGAAACUCAAAUGAAUUGACGGGG